UUACAACGUACGCGGCUUGUUUAAACUGGCAACCCGAGCGGACAGAAGGGAGCUUGCUUCCCGGAGUUAGCGGCGGACGGGUGAGUAACACGUGGGUAAACCUGCCGUCAAGACUCGGGCUAACUCCCGGGAAACUCGGUAGCUCAAUAACACGGUUAGUUCCCUUGAACACGCCUAGGUCUCCAAGGUUCGCAAAGACGGUUUUCGGUGUCACUUUACAGAAGGACCCGCGGCCGUCAUUUAGCUAGUUGGUGAGGUUAACGGCUUCACCAAGGUCGAACGAUGCGUCAGACCGAACCUGAGCAGGGGUGAUACGGUCCCACAACUGGGGGACUCGGAGACACGGGCCCCCAGUACUUCCUUACGUGGUAGGGUCAGCCAAGUUAAGGGGAAUUCUUUUCUCGGCAAAUUGGGGAACCGAAAAAGUUCUCGACGGGGAGUCAAACCCCCCCGCCGGUAGCAGUUCGAAUAGGAAAAUGGUUUUUCUUACCGGGGAAUUCCGUUAAAAAAAGACCUUACUUUGGUUUCGUUUUCAAGGGGGGAAAAGGUAAACCCAAAAGCUCGUCCAAAAGCUAUGUUUAAAAAACCCUUGGCCCUUUUUGGCCCAAGCCCCUUUUUGGGAAACCCGGGUUUCAACCCCCUUUAAAAACCCCCAAGUAAAAAAAA
rnacentral:rRNA from 1 species